rnacentral:rRNA from 1 species
AACGGCCGCGGUACCCUAACCGUGCGAAGGUAGCAUAAUCACUUGUUCUUUAAAUAGGGACUCGUAUCAACGGCAUCACGAGGGCUAUACUGUCUCCUUUCUCUAAUCAGUGAAACUGAUCUCCUCGUGAAGAAGCGAGGAUAGUUUUAUAAGACGAGAAGACCCCAUGGAGCUUUAAACCCAAUGUACAUCUCUACGCAUAUAAGCCCCAAUAGCCCAAGAAAAUUGUAUGUUGGUUUUGGGUUGGGGGGACCGCGGAGAAAAAAUUAACCUCCACGACAAACGGGCCUAUGCCCUUAUCCAUGAGCUACCACUCUAAGAAUCAAUAAACUGAUGUUCAGUGACCCAAUUUAUUGAUCAACGAACCAAGUUACCCUGGGGAUAACAGCGCAAUCUACUUCAAGAGCCCCUAUCGACAAGUAGGUUUACGACCUCGAUGUUGGAUCAGGGUAUCCUAGU